CGCGGAGGCGACCUUCUCCUGCAUGAUCACCAUGUCGGACUGCAUCUUGGACAUGUUGGUGGACAGGGUCUGGAGCAUCUGCAUGACGUCGGCCAUGGAGGGUUGAGCGCCGUCACCCAUGGUGAUGAACCUGGACGUAGCGGUGGACGGGGAGGUGGUGGCUGGUGGUGGUGGUGCGGCUGAAGGGCUGGGGGUGGUGGUUGGGGAUCGCCGACUUCCUGAUACCAGGUUGUCAAGGGCGUCGGGCCCGAGGGUAGGAGGACCGCGACUCCGAAGGUCGUAGCCGCCGUCCGUGUUGCCGACCGGGUUAUGCCCCCAGGAACGGCGGUCUUCGUCAACGGGUUAUGCCCCCUGUUGCCGAGUAGAGAGAGGUAGGAGAUGGAGAUAAAACUUUCUUGUCCUCAUCAUGGGUGCUUACAGGGGGUAUAUAAAGCCAUAGGCCAGGGCUACUAAAGGAAGCCACUAAUCACUCUUAUUCCCUUCUAAAUCUAUCCCAGAUUAUUAAAGGAAAGCCAUCAAUCACUAAUCACUCUUAUUCCCUUCUAAAUCUAGCUCGGACUAAUAAAGGAAAGCCAUCAAUCACAGAUCACUCCUAUUCCUUCUAAAUCUAGCCCGGACUAAUAGGAAGGCCAUCAAUCACUUUUAUUCUUUCCAGAUCUAGCCGCUAGGCCUGGCUGCCUGCUGGAUCAGGCGCUGCCUGCUGGAUCAGGCGUCCUGCGCGCUCAGCCGCGCGCCGCACGUCGCGUGCCCUGUGCCGACGUGUGUACGUAUUUCCGUACAUCACAGAAACAUAGACAAUAUCAUUCAAUCUCUUAUGCAGCAACCUAUUACGUUUCUUUGUAUGGAUCUACAAAAGAAAAAUUUGUUGGCUUAAAUUCUAGACACAAGCUAAGAAUUAAACAAUUAGACAAAGACAACAAUACUCACAAACUCAAAUCUACUCCAGUUUCUCUCACAACCCGAUGAUGAAGCACAAAGACCAACAAUACGCCUAGCAAACCUUUGAAUCUCAAUAGCACGCCCACCAUAUGAACGCCACCAAUCAACUUGAUUGCCAAAUGUGAAAUACAACAUAAAUUUAGAUGUUAAUGUAUAAAACCUGCUGCAAUUACAAGACAAUUAGACAAGCAUCACUUACGUGGGUUCAUUGUCUCCAGGUUGUUCUUGGCCAUUUUGUUUGAGAAGGCCUCUCCUCUAAGAGCUUCAUAGUCUAAGGAUUGAGCAUCAAUCUUGGCUCUUGUUUCUUCAUCAUCCACCAUUCUUGCAAGCACAUCAAGGAAACAACCUCUUAGUUGGCCAACAGUUGCAUCAUCAUCAUCUCGAAUGAGAGGAUGCAAUUUUCCUGGAUUCAAAUAAAGAGCAGCCCCAUACAAAGGAUGGUCCAUUUGUUUCAUCCAUCGUUUCUCAAUGAUGUCUAUGAUUCUCUUAAGUUUCUCAUCACCAUCAACCACUCUAAGUACAAUGAGGAGAGGGGCUGAAGCUCUAAGACAAUCUUCAACUUUAUUCCAAAACUCCACAGAGAGCACAAUAUCACAAGCCUCCUUACCUGCAGCAGUUUUUGCCAACUUGUUCCCAUUCCAUUCUUCACUAAGAAAUAGGGCCUUCAAAGGAUCCUUGUGCUUGUACAAACUUUUCAAAGUAAGGAAAGCAGUGGCAAAUCUAGUGGCUGCAGCUCUCACAAGAUCUGCCCCACCUGUCUUCUCUCUCAUUAAACUAAGAAUUCUACCGUGCCUAUAGAUGAAAGUUGUGACACGUCUUGCACGUACAAUGGGCUUCUUAAAUUCCUUCAAGUUUCCUAUGUCUUCUAGCAUAAGAUCUAAGCAAUGUGCAGCGCAUGGGCUCCAAAAAAGUGAAGGAAACCUCUCCAUAAGUAUCCUACCUGCUGCAUUAAAUGGCACACCGCAUUCAUAAAACCACAAAGCCCAUUGCAUAUCCACAUAAUUCUUCUCCUCUUUGGACUUCAUCUUGGAUGGAAUUGUGGGUUGAGAACACCCUUUACGCCUUUCAUCAACUACAUCUUCAGGUGAUUUCCGAAGCAUCUCCACAAUUGACUUUUGCUUGCUUGCUUGAUUUGCCUUGGUCUUGAUUGAUGUUGUAUCCUUGUACAGAUAGGUUGCACGCCUGUGUUUGGCUGCAGUCCCUGAACUUGGUUGUACCUUAGAGCCUUGGGAUUCUAUAGGUUCAUCUUGUUGAACUUGAACAGAUUCAGCUGCUGCAUCCACCACCAUUACUUCCUCUUCCUCCUCUUGCUGCUCAUUAUCAUCUAGGAAAAUAACUCUUUUCCUUCUUUUGGAUUCCAAGUAAUCCCUCAUCUCCUUUCUAAUUGCAGUAGUGGUCUUUGAACAUAUCUUUGUAUCUCCAUAACCACCUGCUAGAUGCUGCUUUAGCCUUUUUAUCCCUCCAGAAACUAUGGUGUCACAAAGGGUGCAUGUCACUUGAUCUCUAUUUGCCAAAUUUGCCCAAUAACCAUACUUCCAACCUGGAUCAUUUGAGCUAGCCUUCCUUGCUUUGUCUGUCUUUGGAUCAUAGUUGACAUUGUUGACUGAAGAUGGGCUAGCCAUUGAUUGAUGAGGGUGCUGCUGCCUGCUGGCUGCUGUAGUGUUGCUGGCUUGCUGCUAUGCUGCAUAAAAAUAGGAGAUUAGGGAGAGCAGCAGGCAGCAGCAGAGCAGAGGAACUGAGGAAGUUCAAGAGCAGACAGCAGAGGAAUUGAGGAAGAAGAAGCAGACAGCAGAGGAAAGAACCGGACCGGCUGGAGCAGAGGAUUUCCGCUUGGCUGGAGGAGACAGCAGAGGAAAGAACCGGACCGGACUGGCGCUUGCUGCUUGGCUGGAGGAGGCGGCGGCCCGGCGCACCGGCUAGAGGAGGCGGCGGCGCGACGAGUGGAGGUGGAGGAGAGGCGGCGGCGCGACGAGUCCAGUUGGAGGAGAGGCGGCGCGGCACUGGAAAGGCUUUAUUCGCGCGCGCAGCCCUAAAACUAAAACUACGCGCGCAGAGGCGCCAGCCGCCAGCCCUAAAACAAUUCCGCGGCGUCCGUGGCGAAUUUUGGACGCCAUGGCGACGCCUAGGCGAGCGCGGCGACGCCAUACGCAUCCAUGGCGCGGCGAGCCCGACGCCCAGCUUCUACAGCCGCCUGGACGCCUAGGCGUCGUCUAGGCGACGCCUAGGCGACGCCAUAAUAACCUUGCUUUGGAUAUCAUGGUCACACGAGCCAUGUGCAGCACCAGGUACUGCUAGUGUAAACGUUACAACCAAAGAGGGCUACAGUGAUAUAAUUUGUUUUUUAUGUUCUGUAGAAGAAAAUGGGAAUGUGUACAACACGUACACCUCCUCCUUAGAAAAACUAGAACAUAUGCGCCACUGCUCAAGAGUGGAUGGCCAGUAAUUGAUGGUAGAGGAGCACAACAUAUAGGGCAGAGCAAGCCUCACCUGCCUUUUGGGUUGAGGUAGGUCCGACCGUCGGAGAUCUUGGGUUUGUUGUGGGCUCUGGUGGCCUAGGUCUGGCGUGGCGUCUAUUCAUGGGUAUAGCGAGCUGGACUAGAUUUGCUGCGCACUAACAAUUGGUAUCAUAGCCCAUGGUCGAAAAACCUAGAAAAUCUUAGGGGUCACUUGGUGACAGGUGAGCCUGUUAACAUAUCAAAGGGUCACACGACUACACGAGUUGUGUGUGACAUGAUGUGUCGGACUAAGGGGCCUGGAGCUCAUUGGUCCUGCAGCACACCAGAAACACCAUCUCUCUCGACUGCCAGAACAUUCAAAGAGAUGCUAUUAAAAACACACUCAUCAUGAUGUUUUGCUAGUUCCCAAGCAAUAAGAAUAAUAGGUGAAUUAGGGCCUUGUUUAUUUCAGCUAAAGAUUAUGGAAUGCAACUUGUAUAACAUGGAUUGUGAAAACCUAGAUUAUGGAAAGCUAAGAAGGGUCCAUUAAGCUAUUUGGCAAUCUAGAUCCUAGGCGGGUUGGAUUGCUUUUUUGUGGAUGCCAAAAGUAUGUAAUGCCCUCAAUCUUUUCACAAGGCUGUUUGGCAAUCUUUUUUUUGUGGAUGCCAAAACUCUGUGAACUUUUGUCUGUAUGAACUUGCAUUAGCCAAGUGAGAGAUGGUGAGUGAGUGAGGUUGUGUCCAGCGGAUCGUGUAUAUGGCCGUGUAAAACAUUGUUUUGCACGGUAGACAACACCGUUUACGGAGUGGAGUUUAAUGAGUACGUACUUUACCACAUGCACGCUGGAAAAGGAACAGUUUCACGUGCCAUGACGAUCUCAAUGUAUACUACUUUUGCAUGCAGCAGGGGGAUGGACACAGAACACAGAUCCAUGAGCAGUGCCCAACAGGAGAAUCCUAGGUGCGAAACCAUGGCCACCGAUUUGGCAUCACAUGCACGCGCUUUUAUACACACCGGCAUGAGAGAGCACACACAAACCUAGCUUGCCAGGUUUUUCCAAAAGCAAGCGCGUGGCCAAGAUAGAGAGAGAGAGAGGAGACCACAAGAAACCUCCUCUCGCCCAACCGUCCAUCCAUCCAUGAUCUGCAUUAGCUACUAGUAGUAGCUAGUAGCCCCGAUCCGAGAGAACACAUCAUGGUCAUAUAUUUGCGCGUCUCCAGACCAGAAAUCUAUCUCUGCACGUACGCCAUGCACAUCGCUAGGCCCACAAGCUCCUCCAAGCACUCCGUCUGGCCGCGAAGUCCGUGACCUCGGCGUCGUGAUCUGUGGCGCUGAGCUCGACACCAAGAUUUGUGGCACCGAGGUCUGCCACAUCAGCGCCAGCGAAGCCACCGGAUGCCAGCAAGGCCUAGACCUCGGCGUCGAGUAGUGUUACCUCGGCGCCACAACCUAUGAUGCCGAGGAAAGGGUCAAAAAAACGGGAGUACUUCAUCUAGGGGGUUAAAUGUGAUUUUUUUAAAAUAAAGGGCUCAAAUGCAAAAAAAUCGGGCAUACAGAGAUGCCCUAAGUUGCACCCCUCACACUGGUAGUGGCUUUAAGAAUCCUGCCGCACUGGCUGAGUUAAACAAGGAAUUCAAUACAAUACAUCCAUGAAUAGGAUGAACUACACAGGUGAAAGGGAGUCUUCCUUCUAGAGGCCAAUCCAAUGUUGGAUUUUUUUCAUUUGGUUCCCUAUUCAAUUUUUUGUAUUAUACUUUAGUACAUCUCAUUUUAUGUAUACCUUUUUUAUAAAUCCUAGUGAUGUGUGUUGGUGGGGCUUUGCAUAGGAUUUUUUUUUUCUUAAUAUGACAAUAUACACUAACGGCUCCAAUAAGAGUGUGGUCUGGGUAAGGAAUAAUCGAGGCAAACCUUAUCCCUGUAUUUUUU